AACGAACGCUGGCGGCAGGCUUAACACAUGCAAGUCGAGCGCCCCGCAAGGGGAGCGGCAGACGGGUGAGUAACGCGUGGGAAUCUACCCAUCUCUACGGAAUAACGCAUGGAAACGUGUGCUAAUACCGUAUACGUCCUUCGGGAGAAAGAUUUAUCGGAGAUGGAUGAGCCCGCGUUGGAUUAGCUAGUUGGUGGGGUAAAGGCCUACCAAGGCGACGAUCCAUAGCUGGUCUGAGAGGAUGAUCAGCCACACUGGGACUGAGAAACGGCCCAGACUCCUACGGGAGGCAGCAGUGGGGAAUAUUGGACAAUGGGCGCGAGCCUGAUCCAGCCAUGCCGCGUGAGUGAUGAAGGCCCUAGGGUUGUAAAGCUCUUUCACCGGUGAAGAUAAUGACGGUAACCGGAGAAGAAGCCCCGGCUAACUUCGUGCCAGCAGCCGCGGUAACAC
rnacentral:rRNA from 1 species